AAUAUUAAAGAGCUUUGUUAAACUUAGACUUAAGUUUAGGUCAUUUUGGGGGUUUAGCUCAGUUGGCUAGAGCAUCGGCUUUGCAAGCCGAGGGUCAAGGGUUCGAGUCCCUUAACCUCCAUUGGGCUUAUGUCCUAAAUCGUAAUUAAGUAUGUUUUUAAGUAACUUUGUUAAAGUAAUUGUUGGAAUGUGAAACAGAGGAAGUUAAAAUUUCUGGGUUAAGUUGAGAUCUGUUGAUAUUAAGAAGAAUCUCUAGAAGCAAAAGCAAGCUUUCGAUAAAACCCGAAGUUGUUUCGCUAAAGUGCAAGGAUUAAACAGGAUUGUAUUUUCCAGUAGCCUAUUUUAUAAACGAUCUGCAUUUAGUAAAUAGUUUUUAGUUAAGAAAUAAUGUAGAUUGCUAAGUGUGAUGCCUGAAAGAAGGACAAGUAUUGUAGCGAGCCUAAAUCCUUGUUAUCGUUGCCAGUAUUUAGUGGUAGGGAUUCGGAUAAGACUGCCAUUUAUAAGUUGGAGGAAGGCAAAGAUUGCAUUAAAUCGUUAUCGCUCUUAUGUUUUAGGUUACAAGUUUGCCACAAUAACCCAAAAAAGCUAAGCAAAAUGCUAUAAAGCAGAUUUCAGUUUGGAUUUGCCCGACACUCAAUGGCAUGAAGUUGUAAUUGUUAGUAAUCGUAUAUACCUUAAUAUAGAAAUUGAAUAAAUUUUUGUUUUUUUAAUUAUAGCUUAAAACAGUAUUGUCGUAAUUAAA
rnacentral:tRNA from 1 species